GUCUCUGCCGCACGGACCGUCGGGUGAGGUCGCGCGGUCGCCUUCCCUUCGUAUGGUUGCCAAAGCUGUGUUUUUCUGAAGUCUGAGACUGGACAAGGAACCUUCCACUGCAUGAAUACCAAGAAAGGGACAAACUGCACCCAUCCCAAAGGGGUUGAGUUGGCCACCCAAGAUUCCCAGAGAAAGCAGGGGAGAGAGAUGGGGAUCAAAAAUGCCUGUUGGGCCAAGAGGAUGACGAAUGGAGGGACCCUCCAUGGUCCUUUGGAUUAAUUUAAAGCCACUACGGGAAGAGGGAUGAAGAUCAGAAGCUGAUGGAGCUUCCCACGAGAAAUUUUAUUGGACCCAGAUGGAGAUUCCCAAGCCAGGUGACAAGACAAGGCUCUGCGGGGACAGGAGGAGGCCUUCCACCUUCCCUGACCUUCCCCAGCUUCCUUCUGGUGCCUGCAGUAUGGGAAAUCUUGCUGGCACCCAGGGACAGAUAAUGGUGUUCUUCUGACGAGCAGUAUCCUCUUCAGGCUGGGUUGUACAGCAGGAGGCAGAAGCACUACUGAAGAAAGAUGGGGGACUGCUGUUAACAGGCUGGUUCUCAGACCCCUAUGAGGCUGCCUUUUGGGUCCCCCAGGAAUAGCUAGGGGACAUUAUGACAAGCGACAAAAGAGAGGUCAAGAGAGAAAUCACACCUGAUUAUUGGGUCUAUGGAGGAGGCAUUAAUUAACUGGAUCUUGAAGGAUUUCUCAAUAGGCUGUCUCGUUUGAGAAGUAACAUCUGUCAUGUAAAGAGAAGUGCAUCCAUGUAUAUGAUUUU